rnacentral:rRNA from 1 species
UAGGGAAUAUUGCUUAAUGGGCGAAAGCCUGAAGCAGCAACGCCGCGUGUGUGAAGAAGGCCUUCGGGUUGUAAAACACUUUUUGAGGGGAUGAGGAGGGACAGUACCCUCAGAAUAAGCCUCGGCUAACUACGUGCCAGCAGCCGCGGUAAAACGUAGGAGGCGAGCGUUAUCCGGAUUUACUGGGCGUAAAGCGCGCGCAGGCGGCACGGCAAGUUGGAUGUGAAAGCUCCCGGCUUAACUGGGAGAGGUCGUUCAAAACUGCCGAGCUAGAGUGCGGGAGAGGGAGGUGGAAUUCCGGGUGUAGUGGUGAAAUGCAUAGAUAUCCGGAGGAACACCAGUGGCGAAAGCGGCCUCCUGGUCCGCAACUGACGCUCAGACGCGAAAGCUAGGGUAGCAAACGG